GCCGAUUUAGCUCAGUUGGUAGAGCAGCUCACUCGUAACGAGCAGGUCGCAGGUUCGAUCCCUACAAUCGGCA
rnacentral:tRNA from 2 species